rnacentral:lncRNA from 1 species
GGAGAAUGUUAGAGAGACAGGUUUCUGUAGGCUAAGCAGGGGAAGUUGGGAUGCAGCAUCAGCUCCCAGCAGAAAAGGGGGCUGCUGUUGGAUUGUCAAGACUGUGAGCUUCGUCAGGACCAUCAAUAUGCCCCACCUAAACAGGACUCUGCACCCAGUAGGUGGUCAAGAUAAACAUGCCUUGAUUUGAAAACCAAAGUGAGAAGAGGUGAUGUGAUAUGCCCCAGCUCACACUUAUAUUAAGUACCACCACCUGCAUGUGAUCCCAGGUCCUCUGACUCCAAAUCUGAUGCUCUUUCCACUAUACCAAAAUGGCUCUCCAAAUGGUGAUGAUGAUAAUGAUGAUGGUGGUAAUAACUGGUGAAGACAUGGUCCCUGCCCUCUAGGAAAUUAUUGUCUAAUUGAGGAAACAAGAUUCCCACAAUAAAUACUUUG